CAUUUUCAGUAAAGAAGUCCUGAGUAAACACGUUGUCGUUGAAUACCGCUUCUCUGCCGAACCUUAUAUUAGUGCCUCAUGCAGUAAUGUCUCAGUUUUAUCUCAGUUAAUGCCUGCGGGCUAAGAAAACACUCUAAGGAAUUUUGCAAAAUGGCAAAGAUUAAAGGUCAAGUUAAGUGGUUCAACGAGUCUAAAGGUUUUGGUUUCAUUACUCCUGCUGACGGCAGCAAAGACGUGUUCGUACACUUCUCUGCAAUCCAGGGUAACGGCUUCAAAACUCUGGCUGAAGGCCAGAACGUUGAGUUCGAAAUUCAGGACGGCCAGAAAGGCCCAGCUGCAGUUAACGUAACUGCUAU
rnacentral:sRNA from 2 species